rnacentral:rRNA from 1 species
UACGAAGGGGGCUAGCGUUGUUCGGAAUUACUGGGCGUAAAGCGCACGUAGGCGGAUAUUUAAGUCAGGGGUGAAAUCCCAGAGCUCAACUCUGGAACUGCCUUUGAUACUGGGUAUCUUGAGUAUGGAAGAGGUAAGUGGAAUUGCGAGUGUAGAGGUGAAAUUCGUAGAUAUUCGCAGGAACACCAGUGGCGAAGGCGGCUUACUGGGUCUCUACUGACGCUGAGGCACGAAAGCCAGGGUAGCAAACGGG